rnacentral:lncRNA from 1 species
GCACAGCUAUGUCCACAAGGUUGAGAAGGGUCAAUAAUGGCAUUUCUUAUGUCUGCUGUUGCAUUGGCAUUCAUUGUGAGUGGAUACCUUGGUGUUGCACUUGCAUCUUAUAUUAAGAUAACAGGAAGUGAUUUUUCAGGAUUAUCACUUGGACUUGUGAUACAAGCUUCAUGUACUUUGUUGCCAAUAUUUUGGUCAUCAUGCAUACCUGAAUAUGUAAAAACAAAAGACAAGCAUAAAGACUAAUUAAUGUAAUAGCUUUUAGAAAUGUGAUAGUGAUUUAAGGUGUUGAGCAAAUUUUGCGUUCCAUUUAUCAGUAACGUAGUUUAUGUUGGUGCGAGAUUUUUUCCAGUAGGAUUGUAAUUUUCUAAUUUCAUGUUUAGUAAAGAAAAAAAUGUUUAGUAAAUGUUUACAGAAAAGCAAAGCCAAACAAGUGGUUGAAGAAGGCACAAUUAAAAGCAAAAGGUAUGAAAUCAUAUUGAAAAAGUGAACAAUCUCACACAGUUAAAAAUUGAGUCAACUUUUAUAUACUACUAUUCUUUAUGGUCUUUGCCACUUUUUUCCUCAACCCUGUUUCAGUUAAAUUAUGAGAUUUCUAAAUAUCAAUUUAAGAAUGCUCAUGUAACUUAUAAUAUGAGGUUGAUUAUAAAGAAUACGUUGGAAAAGUGAUCUUAUAUAGGCAGUUGUCUGAAAAUAAUCUCAAUUAUUGGAUCAUAAGAUGGUGGAGAUAUGUUACGACAAAACUGCCAAGAGAGGUGUGAAAGUAGAUAGUAUAAAAAUGGCUUUUAGUCCCACAUUGCUAGCAAAGAAAAAUAACACAUGUGAAGUUGUUAUAUAUAAGAUUGCAAGUGAAUUACUAACAAUUGCAGUUUCGCAGAGGUGCCUAGCCUAUUGGCUAUCGCUGUCCCAAUGCCACCGUUCCCCUGUCAUCUUUACUAGCGAAACUGCGGACUUCUCCGACUUUUCAUUUGAUCGGUAGCAGUAGUUUUGGUGGUAACUUUGGCAUUGGACCAGUGGCGUUGGACGGUUUAAAAGUCAAAAAUUUCUUUAGACAUCAUAACCUUGAUUAUUUUCUGUUUUGUUUUCAAAUUAGCUUGUUAGCUCUCUAUCUCAAGAUAUUUAUUUUGAAGUAGAUUAAAUUAGCCAAAAAAACCAAUCAUUCGUGUGUUCUUGGUGGGUAUUUCUGGAUUCACUAGCUUCUUUAGAUUUUCUUCUAUGAUCAAGACAUGGUUGGUGAUGCCUAUUCUUUCCAUGUCCUGCAAACUAUUUACGACACUGUGUCUAUGAGAAGUAUCAAGAACCUAGUGUGUUUAUCAUUUGCAAACAAUAAUGGUACAGACAUACUCAAAGACUUAAGACAACCUCACAAAACCGAUUUGUACGAUGGUAAUUGUCCUCACUUAUAAACACACCAUCUCUGAUCCGAUGUAGGACUUUUUAACACUCUUCAAAUUGGAAUUAAUAUGGCAAACCAAUUAAAUAUCAAUGACAUCAUUUUUGAGAUCAAUUCUUUAGUAGUAGUCGUUAAUAUGGUUACAUUUCUCUGUCAAAAAAAAAAAAAAAAUAGGGUUACAUUUGGUUCAUUACUACACUAAUAUAUGUGAUUAUGUAAAUUUUUUAAAUUAUUACCGGUGUCCCGACGUGUUUGUGUUGUGUUUGUGUCCGUUCAUAGGUUGCCAACUUUGAUGUUGUGAAAAUUUGGGUGAAUUACUGACUAUUUACUGUUUAAUUGCUUCCUUGAGAUUGGGAAUUGAUAGUUUGUUGUUAUUUUUGUUUGAAAAAUGAAGGAAUGAAUGAAUGAUCCUGUUUGUGUAUCGCACUGUGACAAUGGUUACUAAUAACUUUGGAUACAAAAUUGAAUUCAAUGAUAGGAGUCUCUAGUGUGUAUCUCAUAUUGGAUCCAUAUCCCUAUUAUGUUAAACCUAAGAUAGAUCUUAAUCUAUUCCAAUGAAUCAUUACCUUUCUUGUGAAUUUGGUGUGGUCAGCCACUUUUCUUUUUUCAUUUGAUUUAUAUGACUUGAGUCUUAAUCAUUUUUAGGUUCAUAUAUGAGAUUAAUUUUCAUACGUUGACAAUGUAUUAUUUUUACAUAUGUAUCUGGUCAAAUUUGGAGAGAAUUUUUAGGAAUGAUGUGAUUUGAUUGAAUGCAUGUGUAAAAAAGUUAUACAUUGCCGGUGCGUACAAAUUAGAUAUAUGAUAUAUUAGCUUAUAAAUUUGUACUCGAAAAUAUCAUAUUUUUAAUAGUAAUAUAUCUUACGAUUCAUUAUAAGAUUCGAUCCACAAUUUGGAAAAUAGUUCUUCCGGUUGAUGUUAUGAUCUCAAAUCGAUAACAAUGUCUAUGACAACUAUGAGGGAACUUUUAGUUUUAUAAGAAUUGGGUUUGGUGUGUGUAGAACUUUUAUAAUCAAGGAGUAUGGCUGAAACUUCUUGAAUGUGGUCCUUCAUUGGGAUACUUUGAAAAAUCAUAAAGAAAAAGGAAUGAAAAAAAAAAGUAGGAUUAAGAUUCCAAAAUUGAAAAAGAAUGAGGUUGAAUUUUUACAUAUUUUUAUUUUAUUUUGUUUGAACAUAAUAAUGAAUACAGUCCAUAUGAAAACGAAGAAGAUAACCAACGUAACUAACAAAUAACAAACUUUUUCUUUAUUAAGAACAUUUCUUCUCCUUAUAUGUGGUUCCUGUUGAGUGUAUGGUGAUCUGAUCAUUUUGAAUCAGCCAUUUCCCUUAAAGCAGUAGUUCUAUCAUAUGGAAACUAGAACUUGAGUUAUAUAUGACAUUUUUAUUUUACUUUGGAGUUUGAGUUUUAUGGUCUUCUACUGUUGAAAAAGCAAAUCUGAUUGCAACUUUAACUUGAGGCAAUGAUCAGCACUGUUUCUAAGAACACAAGCAAAUGCUACUUCAAAUUGAAAAAAUGCUGCAUUUUUUAGUUAUCUUCAUUUUGAAUUUUAUUUCAUGGGCUUUUUUACAUCAGCAAGUGCUUAUCGGAUCAUCCCUGUAAGUUCGAUUCUGAUACACCUUUUCUACCAAUAAUGCAUGGGACUAGGAUUGUGAACAUACAAUGCCGCACUGCAAUCAUUACCCCUGCAUUGUUCAUUCCAUUUAGCAUAAAAGGUUGAUAUAAUUAAACCUUCUCAUGCAUUUAUUGGUAUUUGGGGUCAUAUUUUUCUUAGGUGUGAGUGUGACAUGAUGGAGUUGAUACUGGCCUUUUCAGUUAUGUUCAUAAGAGCAGCUUUGUUGACAUUUUUCCAAUUUCAUGCAAGCUGUCUUAUUAAGGAAAAGUUGUUAAAUUUCGACAAAGCUUUAAGGAUAAUCAUAUCUAUUUCAUUGUUUAUCAUGUUAUUGCAUUUCUAAUUUGUACUUCCAUUGUUAAAUAUUUCCUUAAAUUUGUUUAUGCAGCUUUCUUGCAGGCACUGUCAUGGCUAGCAAUAGCAAUCUCUCCGUCAAGCAUAUCUGUUUUCACUAUCUCUAUAUAUCUUCUUAGUAUUCUAGGAGCUUCAAUAACUGAGGUAGGAAAUGAUGCCAUCGUUGCCGAGUUGGGUAAACAGCCUCCGUCUUCAACCAAGCACUCUCAACAACCAUCUUCCUCAGGCAAUCUUCAAUCCUUUGCUUGGAUAGCUUCCUCUGUAGGAGGAGUUCCCGACAACCUUCUUGGCGGCAUUUUCAUCAGCCGCCUCUCCACAAUCCAUGUUUAUGUUUUUCAGCCUUGUCGUUGCUCUCCAAUUCUUCACAACCAUUUCGGUUCGCGAAAGCUCUCUUGGACUUCCAAGGAAUCCAUCUAUUGGGAUAAAGAAACAGCUUUCAGAACUAUUGGUCGCAUUAAGAAAACCUGAAAUCGCUUAUUCAAUCUCAUGGUUUGCAUUAUCUUAUGCGGUUGUUCCCUUACUUAACGGAACCAUGUUCUUUUACCAGACACAAUACUUGAAAAUCGACUCGUCAGUAUUAGGUAUCUCCAAGGUUUUUGGUCAGGCAACAAUGCUUCUAUGGGGCGUUAUAUAUAAUCGAUACCUGAAAUCUAUAUCACCUAGGAAACUGAUAUCAGCGAUUCAAGUAACAAUUGCAUUCUUAAUGAUUUCAGAUGUCUUAUUUGUGCGCGGUUUCUAUAGACAAAUGGGCGUGCCGGAUACACUCUAUGUUGUGAUUUUCUCAGGAUUCUUGGAGGUUCUAUUUUUCUUUAAGUUUCUUCCUUUCACUGUGUUAUUAGCACAGCUAUGUCCACAAGGUUGUGAAGGGUCAAUAAUGGCAUUUCUUAUGUCUGCUGUUGCAUUGGCAUUCAUUGUGAGUGGAUACCUUGGUGUUGCACUUGCAUCUUAUAUUAAGAUAACAGGAAGUGAUUUUUCAGGAUUAUCACUUGGACUUGUGAUACAAGCUUCAUGUACUUUGUUGCCAAUAUUUUGGUCAUCAUGCAUACCUGAAUAUGUAAAAACAAAAGACAAGCGUAAAGACUAAUUAAUGUAAUAGCUUUUAGAAAUGUGAUAAACAUAGUGAUUUAAGGUGUUGAGCAAAUUUUGUGUUCCAUUUUUCAGUAGCGUGGUUUAUGUUCGUGCAAGAUUUUAUCCGGUAGGAUUGUAAUUUUCCAAUUUCAUGUUCCGUAAAGGAAAAAAUGUUUAGUGAAUGUUUUACAGAAAAGCAAAGCCAAACAAGUGGUUGGAGAAGGCACACAUACCUUUUUUCCCAGUGGAAUUUCUGAAAUAUGUAAUGCUGCUUCAAGGCAGAAGGUAUGAAAUCAUAUUGAAAAAGUGAACAAUCUCACACAGUUAAAAAAUGAGCCAACUUUUAUAUACUACUAUUCUUUAUGGUCUCUGCCACGUUUUUCCUCAACUUUGUUGCAGUUCAAUUAUGAUAUUUCUAAAUAUCAUUUUAAGAAUGCUUAUGUAACUUAUAAUGUGAGGUUGAUUAUAAAGAUUUUCUACGUUGGAAAAUUGAUCUUAUACAAGUAAUUGUCUGAAAAUAAUAUCAAUUAUUGGAUCAUAAGAUGGUGGACAUAUAUCAAUUCUUUGAAAUACUAGAGACCACAAUACAAUUCGAUCAAUGAACAUUGCAAUUUGGAAGUAAAUAGUACUGAUAUGUUACUACAUGUGCAAAUGAGGUGUGAAAGUUGAGAGCUCUUAGUCCCACAUUGCUUGCAAAGAAACAAAACACAUGUGAAGUUGUUAUAUAUAAGAUGGCAAGUGUAUUACAAACAAUUGCAGUUUCAUAGAGGUGCCUAUUGGCUAUUGUGGUAACAUUGGCACGGAUCAGUGGUGUUGGUUUAAAAAGUAAAAAAUUUCUUUAAACCUUGAUCAUUUUCUUUUUGUUUUCAAAUUAGCUUGUUAGCACUCUCUCUCAAUAUAAUUAUUAUGUAAUAGAUUAUGUAUAAUAAUGUAAUAUAACUUGCCAAAAAAUCAAUUAUUCGUGUAGUCCAUCAUUACUACUUAUGUCUUCAUCUUGUUCUUGGUUGGUUAUUCUGGAUUCACCAGCUUCAUUAGAUUUUCUUCUUAGAGACGGAAUCUAUGAUCAAGACAUGGUUGGUGAUGCUUAUUCUUUUCAUGUCCGCAAACUAUUUACAACACAGUGUCUAUGAGAAAUAUCAAGUACCUAGUCUGUUUAUCUUUGGGGACUCUUUAUAUGAUAGUGAAAACAACAAUAACCUUCCUACCUUUGCUUAAUUUGAUUACAAACCUUAUGGAAUCGAUUCCUUCCUCGCUCGGCGCAACCAGAAGAUUUACCAACGGUCGAACUGCAAUUAACAUAAUAAGUAACGUUCUUUCGGUUUAUCUAUAUUAUUGUGAACUAUUGUUGUUAUCUCUUUGUGUUUCAACUCAAACUAAAGUCAUUUCUUUGACUAUAGCUUGCCUUCUUGGAUUUUAGAUAUUCAUUCCAUCAUUUGCAAACACUAAUGGUUUAGAUAUUCUCAAAGGUGUGAAUUAUGCAUAUGAGGGAGCAGGAAUUCGUAUCGAGACAAGCAUGACUAAAGUUUAAAUAAAUUGUAGUUUUUUAUGGUUGGUACUUAUCUUCAAUGGGUUUGUCAUAGUCACCAAACAUUAGUACACUAUCACAUCGACACUGAUAAUAAUUUGAAAAUUGACAUAAUUAAACCAAUGUAACCACACAAUUCUUAAAAUAAAAAAUGUAACCAUAGUGCCACACAAGUCACGGUCAUGUCUGUAUCAAAUACUAACACGUGUCGAAUACCAUACACAUGGAUCAUAAAUACCGGUGCUACAAAAUGUAUGUUACAUUGCUCAUACAUGUCACCAAAUUAGCAUAUGUCCAUACAAACUUGGUAUUACAGUUGACAAAUCACCGACUUAUAGUUUCUGAAAUUGCUACUAGACUUGGAAGUCUUGAAAAAACUCAGCAAUACCUUAACAAAUGUUUGUGUUAUGUAAUAGGAUGUAAUGUUACAUAAACAAUUAAUGAAAUAUUAUUCUGUUGGGAAUAUAUAUCCUCUAAUGUUAAAAACAGAAAUGUAUUCGUUAAAUGUGGAUAACUUUAUCUUUUUCUUUAUAUUAUAUUAUCAUUUAAUUUUACAAGGGCAUCCAUAAUGGUAACUGUUUCAUCUGAGUGCUGCUAUAUUGCAUGAGGGCCACAACAAAUCAAAUCGUACGACUUGUUAAACUAUGGGAAAAGAAACAACUUUCAGAACUAUUGGUCGCACUAAGAAAACAUAAAUUCGCUGGUCAAUCUCAUGGUUUGCAUUAUCUUAUGCUGUUAUUCCCUUACUUAACAGAACCAUGUUCUUUUACCAGACAUAAUACUUGAAAAUUGACUCCUCGGGUAUUAGGCAUCUCCAAGGUUUUUUGUCGGGCAACAAUGCUUCUAUGGGGUGUUAUAUUUAACUGAUGCUGAAAAUUUGUCUCACUGAGCAAACUGAUAUCAGCUACUCAAGCGUAAAGACUAAUCAAUGCCAAUAUUUUGGUCAUCAUGCAUACCUGAAUUUGUAAAAACAAAAGACAAGUGUAAAGACAAAUUAUUAAUGUAAUAGCUUUUAGAAAUGUGAUGGUGGUUUAAGGGGUUGAACAAAUUUUGUGUUCCAUACUUCCAUUUUUCAGUGGCAUGGUUUAUGUUGGUGCGAGAUUUUUCAUAUAUAGGAUUGUAAUUUUCUAAUGUCAUGUUUAGCCAAUGUUUUUGUGAAAAAAAGAUGUUUAGUGAAUGUUUUACAGAAAAUCAAAACUGCUUUUAUGAUCAAGUGGUUAGAGAAGGCACACAUACCUUAUUUUUCAGUAGAAUCUCUGAAAUAUGUAAUGCUGCUUGAAGGCAGAAGGUAUGAAAUCAUAUUGAAAAAGUAAACAAUCUCACACAGUUAAAAAUUGAGUCAACUUUUAUAUGGUACUAUUCUUUAUAUCUCCGCCACUUUUUUCCUCAACCUUGUUUCAGUUUAAUUAUGAGAUUUCUAAAUAUCAAUUUAAGAAUGCUUAUGUAACAUAUAAUGUGAGGUUGAUUAUAAAGAAUUUGCUAAGUUGAAAAAGUGAUCUUAUGCAAGUAGUUGUCUGAAAAUAAUCUCAAUUAUACGUCAAUUCUUUGAAAUACCAGAGGCUUAAGAACAUUGCAAUUUGGAAGUAAGUAGGACUGAUAUCUUACUAGAAGUGCCAAGUGAGGUGUGAAAGUAGAGAGUAUAAAUAUGGCUUUUAGUCCCAUAUUGCUUGCAAAGAAACAUAAUACGUGAAGUUUUUCUAUAUAAAGAUGACAAGUGAAUGACUAACAAAUGCAAUUUGGCUGAGAUGUCUAUUGGUUAUUCCUGUCCCAAUGACACUGUUCUAGUGCCACACCCCCGAAACUGCCAACUUUUCCAACUUGUCGUUUGAUCGGUAGUGUAGUUCUGGGGGUGCUAUCUGGAAUAGUAGCAUUGACAGGUUAAAAAGUUCAAUUUUUUUUUUAGAAAUCACAACUUUGAUCCCUUUUUUUCUCUUCAUUUUCUUCGUUGAUUCAGCUCAAACUAAUGUCGUUUCAUUGAGCUGCUACUCUACUUCUUGGAUUUGAGAAUUUAAUUUCAUCAUUUGCAAACCCUAAUGGUUUAGACAUACUUAAAGGUCCGAACUAUGCCAACUAUAAUCGUAGUUUUUGAUUGUUCAUCUUUAACUUCAAUUGGUUUUUGAUAGGUGUCUAGAGGAUUAUGUAGUACUCACGCAAUUAUCAAACACGACACUGACACGUCAACAGCAGUAAUAAUUUGAAGAAAAAAAAAACUUACAUUUAAAUGUAAUCACACGACUCUAUAUUGUGUCGGCAUCAAUAUUGACAUGUGUCAGAUACCUGAGACAUAGAUCUAAAGUGUCGAUGCUACAAAAUGUAUGCUACAUUGCUCAUACAUGUCACCAAAUUAACAUUAUUUAUGUCCAUACAUGAUUUUGUAUAGAAAGUUGAAUCGAAAGUUUUCGAUAAGUAAUCAGCUUCUUCGUGUGGUCACAAAUCAAGCUAAGUUCACCGUUUUUCUUCCAAAACUACUCACAGUUUCACCCUAUGUGACACAUCAUUGAGGUUUCUUGGAAACCUCCACCAUUCAACUACUAUAAAUGUUGAUGGUCUCAUGAAAGACACCAGAGAUUCUAUUUGUGGAUGAAUAACUAGAGAUCCUCGUGGUAGAUUCAUUCACGAUUUCUAAAAUAGACUCAAAACUUGAUCUGCUGUGUCGGCAGAACUCUGUGCUCUUCGCAUUGGAGUUGAUGAUAUAGCAAACCAGUUAAUUAUAUCAAUAAUGUCACAAUUGCAGCCACUAAAAGCAUGCAUGAAAUCAUAGACUAAUACAGUUAAUUGACAGCGGAAUCCACGGUGGUGGAAGUAGAAAAAAUAUCUCGGGUGGGCCAGCAAAAUAUACUCGGAUAUAUAAACAUAAAUUUGUCUGUUGUAAUAAACGCCAAACACAAAGUUUCAUCAAAAUAGUAAACUACAUACCUUAGAAAAUUAAAAUAAUUCGUUAUGCGAUCCAACUAACUUGAAAUCAUCAAUGACCAACUCAUAACUAAUACUUGCACUAAUUUCCCUUUCAAUAUAAACCGUCAUGCUAUCAUUUAGAAACCCACUUCCCAUUUUGUUUCUCAACCUAGUCUUGAUAAUCUUCAUUGCUGAAAAAGAUCUCUCAGUUGUGGCCGUAGAAGCUGGAAGAGUCAUGAUAAGGCGGAGUAUAAAUUAAAUAUGUGAUAUCUUACGAUUCAUUAUAAGAUUCGAUCCAUGAUUUGGAAAAUAGUUCUUCCGGUUCACGUUAUGAAUCUCGAAUCGAUAAGGAUGUUUAUUUCCCUUGUAGUGUAAUGCAAUAUGUCCUGAUACCAGGUUUCUGUGGGUGAGUAGUAGUAACACAUUACCCCUUUUUCCCUGCAUCAGUCCAAAGGCAGAACAGAAAAAAUGGGAUCUUAUGGAUUCUGGCCAGUAAUGUGAUCAAUCCAAAAGAAAGAAUAAACAAAAGAAAGAAAAACCGAAACCCUGAUUCAAAAGGAAACUUAGAUACUUGAAUAUGAAUAUAGUUAGGAACUAUUUAAAUGAAUGAAUGUCGUUGUUGCUUGAAUCUAAAAACAGAAUAAGUAUAUACUCGUUAGCUUCCUUAUGAAGGAAGUGUAAUAAAUCACAAUUAUUUCUAGGAACUGGAAAAUAGGUCAAUGGUUAUUGAAUUGGUUUCUUUUAUAUAUAAUAGAAGAAGGGAUAGAAAGAAUCAUCCUGAGGCAAACUGGUCAAUAAUGAAUACAAGAGACUAUUUAUACAUACAAGUUCAUAUGAAAACGAAGAAGAUAACAACGAUAACUAGCCUAAGUACAUUUCUCUAAUAAGAACAUUUUGAAUCAGCCAUUUCCCUCAAAGCAGUAGUUCUACUCAUGAAAAUGCAAAACUGAUUGCAACUUUUACUUGAGGCAAUGAUCAGAACCGUUUCUAAGAACACAAGCAAAUGCUACUUGAAAUUGAGAAAGUGCUGCAUUUUUUAGUUAUCUUCAUUUUGAAUUUUAUUUUCAGCAAUUGCUUAUCAGAUCAUCCCUGUCAGUUCGAUUCUGAUCCACCUUUAAUUUUCUGACAUACAAUGGUUAUUAAAACUGGAGACUUGGUUUUUACUUCAUUCAAUGCUAGACUAAAUCUGGAUAUGUUGUUGUGACUAUAUAACCUUAUGCCGCACUGCAAUCUUUACCCCUGCAUUGUUCAUUCCAUUUGGUAUAAAAGGUUGAUAUAAUUAAACCUUGUCAUGUAUUUAUUGGUCUAUGGGGUCAUAUUUUUCUUAGGUGUGAGUGUGACAUGGUGGAACUUCAUGUAAACUGUUUCUUCUGUUCUGUCCCCUUUGGGCUAUGAAUCCCAGUUUUCACUUAUUAGCAAGAAUACCUUAAAAAUUUAUCCUCAUCAAAAUGUUAGCUCGGAGGGAACUGGUUUGGUGACUGGUAAGGAUCGGUUACGUCUAGUAUAUGCAAAUUAUUAACCAGUUGCACGAUGCGUCAAAACAUGGCAUGAAUAAGUUCUCUCAGGCUGCAACUUUUCGUUUGACCUGAUUUUCUGGAGCCUCCCCCUCCUUUUUUUGGUAGAAAUAUUGUCCCUAGUUUCUUGGUUGCUAAAGUUGGAGUUGAUACUGAUGCCUUUUCAGUUAUGUUCUCGUCCAUAAGAGCAGCUUUGUUGGCAUUUUUCCAAUUUCAUGCAAGCUGCCUUAUUAAGGGAAAGUUAUCAAAUUUCGCCAAUGCUUUAAGGAUAAUCAUAUCUAUCAUGAACUUUAAAACUGUUCUAUUGUUUAUCAUUUUAUUGCAUGUCUAAUUUGUACUUCUAUUGUUUAUAACUAUAUUGCUAAAUAUUUCCUUAAAUUUGUUUAUGCAGCUUUCUUGCAGGCACUGUCAUGGCUAGCAAUAGCAAUCUCUCCGUCAAGCAUAUCUGUUUUCACUAUCUCUAUAUAUCUUCUUCUUAGUAUUCUAGGAGCUUCAAUAACUGAGGUAAAAAAUGAUGCCAUCGUUGCCGAGUUGGGUAAACAGCCUCCGUCUUCAACCAAGCACUCUCAACAACCAUCUUCCUCAGGCAAUCUUCAAUCCUUUGUUUGGAUAGCUUCCUCUGUAGGAGGAGUCGCCGGCAACCUUCUUGGUGGCAUUUUCAUCAGCCGCUUCUCUCCACAAUCCAUGUUUAUGUUUUUUGGCCUUCUUGUUGCUCUCCAAUUCUUCAUAACCGUUUCGGUUCACGAAAGCUCUCUCGGACUUUCAAAGAAUCCAUCAAUUGGGAUAAAGAAACAGCUUUCAGAACUAUCUGCCGCACUAAGAAAACCUGAAAUCACGUAUUCAAUCUCAUGGUUUGCAUUAUCUUAUGCAGUUGUUCCCUUACUUAACGGAACCAUGUUCAUUUACCAGACACAAUACUUGAAAAUCGACUCGUCAGUGUUAGGUAUCUCCAAGGUUUUUGGUCAGGAAACAAUGCUUCUAUGGGGUAUUAUAUAUAAUCGAUACCUGAAAUCUAUAUCACCUAGGAAACUGAUAUCAGCGAUUCAAGCAACAAUUGCAUUCUUAAUGAUUUCAGAUGUCUUAUUUGUGCGCGGUUUCUAUAGACAAAUGGGCGUGCUGGACACACUCUAUGUUGUGAUUUUCUCAGGAUUCUUGGAGGUUCUAUUUUUCUUUAAGUUUCUGCCAUUCACUGUGUUAUUAGCACAGCUAUGUCCACAAGGUUGCGAAGGGUCAAUAAUGGCAUUUCUUAUGUCUGCUGUUGCAUUGGCAUUCAUUGUGAGUGGAUACCUUGGUGUUGCACUUGCAUCUUAUAUUAAGAUAACAGGAAGUGAUUUUUCAGGAUUGUCACUUGGACUUGUGAUACAAGCUUCAUGUACUUUGUUGCCAAUAUUUUGGUCAUCAUGCAUACCUGAAUAUGUAAAAACAAAAGACAAG